rnacentral:rRNA from 1 species
GACGAACCGUGCAAACGUUACUCGGAAUCACUGGGCUUAAAGCGCACGUAGGCGGCGGCGUAAGUCAGAGGUGAAAUCCCAUCGGCUCAACCGUGGAAUUGCCUCUGAUACUGCGUUGCUCGAGGGGGAACGGGGCAUCUGGAACUUCCGGUGGAGCGGUGAAAUGUGUUGAUAUCGGAAGGAACGCCGGUGGCGAAAGCGAGAUGCUGGGUCCUUUCUGACGCUGAGGUGCGAAAGCUAGGGUAGCGAACGGG